CCCUUAGAUGUUCUGGGCUGCACGCGCGCUACACUGGUGCGUUCAGCGAGUUUAGCACCUUAACAGAUAUGUUUGGGUAAUCUUCUGAAAACGCACCGUGAUGGGGAUCGAUUAUUGUAAUUAUUAAUCGUCAACGAGGAAUUCCUAGUAAGUGUGAAUCAUCAGUUCACGCUGAUUACGUCCCUGCCCUUUGUACACACCGCCCGUCGCUGCUACCGAUUGAGUGGUCCGGUGAAUUAUUCGGACCGGUGGACUGUGGGGAAACCCGCGGCCUGCUGGGAAGUCUUGUGAACCUUAUCACUUAGAGGAAGCAGAAGUCGUAACA
rnacentral:rRNA from 1 species